rnacentral:rRNA from 1 species
UACGUAGGGUGCGAGCGUUGUCCGGAAUUACUGGGCGUAAAGAGCUCGUAGGUGGUUUGUCGCGUUGUUCGUGAAAUUCCCUGGCUUAACUGGGGGCGUGCGGGCGAUACGGGCAGACUGGAGUACUGCAGGGGAGACUGGAAUUCCUGGUGUAGCGGUGGAAUGCGCAGAUAUCAGGAGGAACACCGGUGGCGAAGGCGGGUCUCUGGGCAGUAACUGACGCUGAGGGGCGAAAGCGUGGGGAGCGAACAGG